CCUCUCCUCCGUGACUCCUCCCUCCUCUGUUCACUGUGCCUUCACCUUCUUGAUCACGUUGGUGGUGUGUGACCACCUUCGGUCGAGCUUUCUUUCUCCUUCGCUAAUCGUCGGAGGCCAUUAGGUUGUCUUUCCUCCGCAGGUCAUCGCCAUGCAGGUAGAUCUUUGGCCAAGAGGGAGAUAUGAGCCCUAGUCUCAAUCUCCCAUCGCUACGCCUCUACGCACCCCAUCUCUGACCUUCGGACCACAAUACUCCAGCCGAGCUUUGCUUUGGUUCGUUCCCUUCUCCUGAUCUAGUGUGAUGCUACCCCGAUUUGCCUGAUCCUCUCUGUGCCACUGUCGAUCUCCACGGCCACUGGCACUAGUCAUGGCCGCGAUGGGGGAGGAGGCUAGCCCCUCACCCGAUCUAGAGUCGUGCCCUAGCUUUGGGGUACGCCUCUACGCACCCCAUCUCUGACCUUCGGACCACAAUACUCCAGCCGAGCUUUGCUUUGGUUCGUUCCCUUCUCCUGAUCUAGUGUGAUGCUACCCCGAUUUGCCUGAUCCUCUCUGUGCCACUGUCGAUCUCCACGGCCACUGGCACUAGUCAUGGCCGCGAUGGGGGAGGAGGCUAGCCCCUCACCCGAUCUAGAGUCGUGCCCUAGCUUUGGGUAAUGCCCCGUCACCGUAGAUACCGGUUGGGUGAAGGUUGCCAUGCCUUUCUCUGUCGUGGUCAUGCCCAUCCCAGUGAUUGACGACGCCGGAGCCACUGUCAACGUCACACAGUUGCAGCCAGCUUUGCAUAUGGCUAGCCAUCUCUUUACUUCCUCCCAAUCAUGACCUUGCCAUCAUGGGUGCAUUGCCAAGGUCGGCUGUGACUCAGAUGCAUGUGUCAUCACCACUCCUGUAUUGUUGUGUUACUCAUUUGGUCAUGUUGGUGGUGCGGGACAUAUGUUUGAUGAAAUGUCCUAAUUCCUCUUGUCUCCUCUAUUUGCAUCCAUAACGCCAUCGAUGACCACCUAUCGUUGUGAGCCACUACUAGGGCAGUGACCAUCCACUGUAAGAUGUUGUGAGGUAGAUGAUUGUGGAGUUGCUUGGAGUAUUCUAUCUGUUGGUCCCACGUCACAUUAGAAGACGGUCUUUACUACGCUCGUCUUCUUACAUGUUUUCUUUAUGAUAUUGUAUUGGUGUUUAGCCAUGUGACUAUUUUAUCAUUUUGGUAUGUUAGUGUGUUUAAGUCAUGCCGACACACAUUGUA